GAUGAACGCUAGCGGCAGGCUUAACACAUGCAAGUCGAGGGGUAGAAGGAGCUUGCUCCUUUGAGACCGGCGCACGGGUGCGUAACGCGUAUGCAAUCUACCUUGUACAGGGGGAUAGCCCAGAGAAAUUUGGAUUAAUAACCCAUAGUGUAACGAAAAGGCAUCUUUUUGUUAAUAAAGUUCGAACGUUACAAGAUGAGCAUGCGUCCCAUUAGCUAGUUGGUGGGGUAACGGCAGACCAAGGCAACGAUGGGUAGGGGACCGGAGAGGGAGAUCCCCCACACUGGUACUGAGACCCGGACCAGGCUCCUACGGGAGGCAGCAGUGAGGAAUAUUGGUCAAUGGGCGCAAGCCUGAACCAGCCAUGCCGCGUGCAGGAUGACGGUCCUAUGGAUUGUAAACUGCUUUUGUACAGGAAAAAACACUCCCUCGUGAGGGAACUUGACGGUACUGUAAGAAUAAGGAUCGGCUAACUCCGUGCCAGCCGCCGCCGUAAAAC
rnacentral:rRNA from 1 species